rnacentral:rRNA from 1 species
GACGAACGCUGGCGGCGUGCUUAACACAUGCAAGUCGAACGGAAAGGCCCCUUUGGGGGUACUCGAGUGGCGAACGGGUGAGUAACACGUGAGUAACCUGCCCUUGACUUCGGGAUAACUUCAGGAAACUGGGGCUAAUACCGGAUAGGAAUCCUUGCUGCAUGGUGGGGGUUGGAAAGCUUCGGCGGUUUUGGAUGGACUCGCGGCUUAUCAGCUUGUUGGUGGGGUAGUGGCUUACCAAGGCUUUGACGGGUAGCCGGCCUGAGAGGGCGACCGGCCACAUUGGGACUGAGAUACGGCCCAGACUCCUACGGGAGGCAGCAGUGGGGAAUAUUGCACAAUGGGCGGAAGCCUGAUGCAGCAACGCCGCGUGCGGGAUGACGGCCUUCGGGUUGUAAACCGCUUUCAGCAGGGGUGAAGCUUGUGGUGACGGUACCUGCAGAAGAAGCACCGGCUAACUACGUG